UGGCAAUGUCUCCUUGCCGAUAUCGAUGGGGAUACUCGAUCAUGCUGUGGGCAGAAGCCUUAGACACAAACGUUGUCAUUGGUAUGGUGUGAGGGUGGGUUAGAUGCCCA
rfam:Bacillus hemicellulosilyticus JCM 9152 DNA, contig:contig_18.